AUCAUGAUCUGAUUUGUAAGCCUACUCGGGUCUUGAGUAUUUACUUGUAAGAACGGAAUUCUUUGUUUUGUAAUGGAUAGUUGCAAUUCCAUAAAAAAGAAUUCAGUCAAAUUUUUCUUACAUUGAACCAUUCCUCUAUCAUAUAUGUGGAUGUGUAAAGACAGGUACCAUAUAUAUAUUUUAUAUGGAUAUAUGGAUUCAUUUGGUUCUUUUUAUUCUUGCUCGAGCUGGAUGAUUAAAAAUUAUCAUGUCCAGUUCCCUCGGGGGAUGGAUCUAUAAGAAUUCACCUAUCCCAAUAACAAAAAAACCUGACUUGAAUGAUCCUGUAUUAAGAGCUAAAUUGGCUAAAGGUAUGGGUCAUAAUUAUUAUGGAGAGCCCGCAUGGCCCAAUGAUCUUUUAUAUAUUUUUCCAGUAGUAAUUCUAGGUACUAUUGCAUGUAAUGUAGGCUUAGCCGUUUUAGAACCAUCAAUGAUUGGUGAACCGGCAGAUCCAUUUGCAACCCCUUUGGAAAUCUUACCUGAAUGGUAUUUCUUUCCUGUAUUUCAAAUACUUCGUACAGUGCCCAAUAAAUUGUUGGGGGUUCUUUUAAUGGUUUCAGUACCUGCGGGAUUAUUAAUAGUACCUUUUUUAGAGAAUGUUAAUAAAUUCCAAAAUCCAUUUCGCCGUCCAGUAGCGACGACUGUCUUUUUGAUUGGUACCGCAGUCGCCCUUUGGUUGGGCAUUGGUGCAACAUUACCUAUUGAUAAAUCCCUAACUUUAGGUCUUUUUUAAAUUUUUUAUUUUUAAUUGAUUCAAUUGUGAAAUAACACGACAUGUGUAUCUAGGGAAUAGUUUCUUCAAAGCGAAUUCUCCCUAGAUACAUCUAGUCAAUUUAAUUCUGAAUUUAUUUCUAAUAUAAUAUAUGAUAUAUUAAUUGUGCUAAAGAUUUCAAUCUAUUUUGACUAAAUAAGUCCAAUAGAUUUAAAACUUAUUUUUUGCUAAAUCAAUUACGAAAUAUUUUUCUAAAGUGCCCAAUAUCUGUUUUAUAUCUUCGCUACGAAAAUGUUCAAUUUUCAUAAGAUCUUCUUGGCUGUUAUUCAAAAGGUCCAAUAAUGUAUAUAUAUUGGACAUUUUGAGGCAAUUAUAGAUCCUGGAAGGCAAUUCUGAUUGGUCAAUAAAAAUCGAUUUCAAUGCUAUUUUUUUUUUGUUUUUUAUGAGUUUAGCCAAUUUAUCAUGAAAGGUAAAAGGGGAUAAAGGAACCGUGUGUUGAUUGUCCUGUAAAUAUAAAUUGUCUUCCUCCAUAUGUAAAAAGGGAAUAAAUAAAUCAAUUAAAUUUCGGGAUGCUUCAUGAAGUGCUUCUUUCGGAGUUAAACUUCCGUUUGUCCAUAUUUCGAUAAAAAGUAUCUCUUGUUUUUCAUUUCCAUUCCCAUAAGAAUGAAUACUAUGAUUCGCGUUUCGAACAGGCAUGAAUACAGCAUCUAUAGGAUAACUUCCAUCUUGAAAGUUAUGUGGCGUUUUUAUAAGAUAUCCACGAUUUCUCUCUAUUUGUAAUCCAAUACAAAAAUCAAUUGGUUCUGUUAAACUAGCUAUAUGUUGUGUAUUAUCAACGGUUUCUACAUAAGGCGGCAAGAUGAUAUCUUGAGCAGUUACAUAUCCAGGACCCUUGACACAAAUAGACGCGUCAGAAGUUCCAUAUAGAUUACUUCUCAAUACAAUUUCUUUCAAAUUCAUUAAAAUUUCAUGUACCGAUUCUUGAAUGCCCGUUAUGGUAGAAUAUUCAUGUGGGACUUUCUCAGAUUUUACACGUGUGAUACAUGUUCCUUCUAUUUCUCCAAGUAAAGCUCUUCGCAUCGCAAUGCCUAUUGUGUCGGCUUGGCCUUUCAUAAGUGGAGACAGAAUAAAGCGUCCAUAAUAAAGGCGUUUACUGUCUGUUCUUGAUUCAACACACUUCCACUGUAGUGUCCGAGUAGAUACUGUUACUUUCUCUCGAACCAUAGUACUAUUAUUUGAUUAGAUCAUCGAAUCUUUUAUUUCUCUUGAGAUUUCUUCAAUGUUCAGCUCUACACACGUCUUUUUUUCGGAGGUCUACAGCCAUUAUGUGGCAUAGGAGUUACAUCCCGUACGAAAGUUAAUAGUAUACCACUUCGACGAAUAGCUCGUAAUGCUGCAUCUCUUCCGAGACCGGGACCUUUUAUCAUGACUUCUGCUCGUUGCAUACCUUGAUCCACUACGGUACGGAUAGCGUUUGCUGCUGCGGUUUGAGCAGCAAACGGUGUUCCUCUUCUCGUACCUUUGAAUCCAGAAGUACCAGCGGAGGACCAAGAAACUACUCGACCCCGUACAUCUGUAACAGUGACAAUGGUAUUAUUGAAACUUGCUUGAACAUGAAUAACUCCCUUUGGUAUUCUACGUGCACCCUUACGUGAACCAAUACGUCCAUUCCUACGCGAACUAAUUUUCGGUAUAGCUUUUGCCAUAUUUUAUCAUCUCGUAAAUAUGAGUCAGAGAUAUAUGGAUAUAUCCAUUUCAUGUCAAAACAGAUUCUUUAUUUAUACAUCGGCUCUUCUGGCAAGUCUGAUUAUCCCUGUCUUUGUUUAUGUCUCGGGUUGGAACAAAUUACUAUAAUUCGUCCCCGCCUGCGAAUUAGUCGACAUUUUUCACAAAUUUUACGAACGGAAGCUCUUAUUUUCAUAUUUUUCAUUCCUUACCUUAAUUCUUAAUCUAUUUCUUGGAAGAAAAUAAGUUUCUUGAAAUUUUUCAUCUCGAAUUGUAUUCCCCCGAAAGGAAUGGUGAAGUUGAAAACCUAAUCCUUUAAAUCUUUGUUGUGUAGUCGAUAAAUUAUACGCCCUUUGGUUGAAUCAUAAGGACUUACUUCAAUUUUUACUCUAUCUCCUGGCAGUAUCCGUAUAAAACUAUGUCGGAUCUUUCCUGAAACAGAAUUGAGAAUCAGAUCUAAACGAAUCGGGAAUAGACCGUUGGGAAGCGAUUCAGUAAUUAAAGCUUUAUGACUCCAUUUUGGUUCUUAAAAUUCCCUUGAGGUAUAAACUAAUUAGAAAGAUAUUAGACAACCCCCCUUUUUCUUUUUCACAAAUUUAACAAAUAGGAAGUUUCGAAUCCAAUUUUGAUAUUAUAAAGGAUUACCAGAUAUAACACAAAAUUUCUCCACCUAUUCCUUCUAGUCGAGCCUCUCGGUCUGUCAUUAUACCUCGAGAAGUAGAAAGAAUUACAAUACCCAUUCCACCUAAAAUUCUCGGAAUUCGUUGAUAAUUAGAAUAGAUUCGUAGACCAGGUCGACUUAUUCGUUUUAAAUUUAAAAUAUUUCUAUAGGGUCUUUUCCUAUUCCUUCUAUGUCGCAGGGUUAAAACCAAAAAAUAUUUGUUGUUUUCUCGAUGUUUUCUCACGUUUUCGAUAAAACCCUCUCGUAAAAGUAUUUGAACAAUAUUUUCGGUAAUAUUUGUAGAUGCUAUCCGAACCACCCUUUUUCGAUCCAUAUCAGCAUUUCGUAUAGAAGUUAUUAUCUCAGCAAUAGUGUCCCUGCCCAUGAUGAACUAAAAUUAUUGGGUUCUCCAAAUUUGAUAUAAUCAACGUGUUUUUUACUUAUUUAUUUUUGAAUAUGAUAUGAAUUAUUAAAGAUAUAUGCGUGAGACACAAUCUACUAAUUAAUCUAUUUCUUUCAAAUACCCUACUAGAAACAGAUCACAAUUUCAUUUUAUAAUACCUCGGGAGCUAAUGAAACUAUUUUAGUAAAAUUUAAUUCUCUCAAUUCCCGGGCGAUUGCACCAAAAAUUCGAGUUCCUUUUGGAUUUCCUUCUUGAUCAAUAACAACCGCAGCAUUGUCAUCAUAUCGUAUUAUUAUCCCGUUGUCACGUUUGAGUUCUUUACAGGUACGCACAAUUACAGCCCUGACUACUUCUGAUCUUUCUAGGGGCAUAUUUGGUACUGCUUCUUUGAUCACAGCAACAAUAACGUCACCAAUAUGAGCAUAUCGACGAUUGCUAGCUCCUAUGAUUCGAAUACACAUCAAUUCUCGAGCCCCGCUAUUAUCUGCUACAUUUAAAUGGGUCUGAGGUUGAAUCAUUUUUUUAAUCCGUUAUUUGAAUGCAUUUGAAUGCAAAGGGCGAAGAAAAAAAAAGAAAUAUUUUUGUCCAAAAAAAAAGAAACAUGUGGUUUUGUUUCAUAUCUAAGAGCCCUUUCUACAUUUUUGUCUAUUACAUUACGAAAUAAUGAAUUGAGUUCGUAUAGGCAUUUUGGAUGCUGCUAGUGAAAUAGCCCUUCUGGCUAUAUUUUCUGUUACUCCACCCAUUUCAUAAAGUAUUCGCCCCGGUUUAACAACAGCUACCCAAUAUUCAGGGGAUCCUUUUCCUGAACCCAUACGUGUUUCUGCGGGUCUUAGUGUAACUGGUUUGUCUGGAAAUAUACGUACCCAUAUUUUUCCACCACGACGUGCAUUUCGUGUCAUUGCUCGUCGGCCUGCUUCUAUUUGUCGAGAUGUAAUCCAAGCAGGUUCAAGUGCUUGAAGAGCAUAUUUACCGAAAGAAAUAUGAUUACCUCGAUAAGAUAUUCCCUUCAUUCUUCCUCUAUGUUGUUUACGGAAUCUGGUUCUUUUGGGGUUAUAGUUGAUGGUUGUUUCUGAAUUCCAUCUCUACUACAGAACCGGACGUGAGAGUUUCUUCUCAUCCAGCUCCUCGCGAAUAAAAGGAUUCCAAAAAAUUCAAUUUGAAUUAAGCUAGAAGAGUCAAUCUUAAGUUAAGAUAUAUAUGUAUUUACUGAGUAAUACCUUGAACGUGGGCUUCUUUGAGAUUUCAUUAAAUCUAUUAGUAAUUUUUAUAUCUUGUUUGAAUAGAUAACUAAACUUUUUAGUUUUAUAAAUAGAAAUAUAAAAAAUUGUAUUAUUAUACCAAAUCCUUAUUUUGUCCUUUAUUGUAUUGUCCUAAAUUUUUCAAUAAAAAAAGUUUUCGCGGGCGAAUAUUUACUCUUUCAAUCCCUAUUUCAUUUGUAGGGUUAACUCGUGAUUUCUCAG
rnacentral:lncRNA from 1 species